rnacentral:rRNA from 1 species
GACGAACGCUGGCGGCGUGCUUAACACAUGCAAGUCGAACGGAAAGGCCUCUUUCGGGGGGUACUCGAGUGGCGAACGGGUGAGUAACACGUGAGUAACCUGCCCUUGACUUUGGGAUAACUUCGGGAAACUGGGGCUAAUACCGGAUAGGAGCUCCUGCUGCAUGGUGGGGGUUGGAAAGUUUCGGCGGUUGGGGAUGGACUCGCGGCUUAUCAGCUUGUUGGUGGGGUAGUGGCUUACCAAGGCUUUGACGGGUAGCCGGCCUGAGAGGGUGACCGGCCACAUUGGGACUGAGAUACGGCCCAGACUCCUACGGGAGGCAGCAGUGGGGAAUAUUGCACAAUGGGUGGAAGCCUGAUGCAGCAACGCCGUGUGCGGGAUGACGGCCUUCGGGUUGUAAACCGCUUUCGCUCAUGACAAAGCUUUGUGUGACGGUAGUGGGUAAAGAAGCACCGGCUAACUACGUG